UACAGAGGGGGCAAGCGUUAUUCGGAUUUACUGGGCGUAAAGGGCGCGUAGGCGGCGCGGUAAGUCACUUGUGAAAUCUCUGAGCUUAACUCAGAACGGCCAAGUGAUACUGCAGUGCUAGAGUGUGGAAGGGGCAAUCGGAAUUCUUGGUGUAGCGGUGAAAUGCGUAGAUAUCAAGAGGAACACCUGAGGUGAAGACGGGUUGCUGGGCCAACACUGACGCUGAGGCGCGAAAGCCAGGGGAGCAAACGGG
rnacentral:rRNA from 1 species